rnacentral:rRNA from 1 species
UACGAAGGGGGCUAGCGUUGCUCGGAAUCACUGGGCGUAAAGCGCACGUAGGCGGAUUGCUAAGUCAGGGGUGAAAUCCUGGAGCUCAACUCCAGAACUGCCUUUGAUACUGGCGAUCUCGAGUUCGGGAGAGGUGAGUGGAACUGCGAGUGUAGAGGUGAAAUUCGUAGAUAUUCGCAAGAACACCAGUGGCGAAGGCGGCUCACUGGCCCGAUACUGACGCUGAGGUGCGAAAGCGUGGGGGAGCAAACAGGGAU